CCCUGGCCAUGUACCACCAUUAAAAAUAAAAGUGUGCUUUUUCUCUAACUAGCUACCGUAGCCCUGGAGAUGAACCCACCUGGGUAGAGUGAGGAGUGGGAGAAACUGCUGCUUCUGAUCUCAGGAGACAUUUGGACCUCAGGAGACACUGCAGGAGGAGCAGGCACUAUGGUGCUCAGUAUCACUGUGGUAUUCAGUGAGGAGAUAAGGACAAGGUGAGCAAGCUGCUAUUUUCAGAAGGAGAGCCCCAUUUUCUGGAGUGUGCAAGACUCAAACUGCAAGUCUGGAGACAGAAAAUCUC
rnacentral:lncRNA from 1 species